AUCAGGUUGUUAUUAGUAGAGUAGAGUAGCCUUUCAUCAGGUUGUUAUUAGUAGAGUAGAGUAGCCUUUCAUCAGGUUGUUAUUAGUAGAGUAGAGUAGCCUUUCAUCAGGUUGUUAUUAGUAGAGUAGAGUAGCCUUUCAUCAGGUUGUUAUUAGUAGAGUAGAGUAGCCUUUCAUCAGGUUGUUAUUAGUAGAGUAGAGUAGCCUUUCAUCAGGUUGUUAUUAGUAGAGUAGAGUAGCCUUUCAUCAGGUUGUUAUUAGUAGAGUAGAGCAGCCUUUCAUCAGGUUGUUAUUAGUAGAGUAGAGUAGCCUUUCAUCAGGUUGUUAUUAGUAGAGUAGAGUAGCCUUUCAUCAGGUUGUUAUUAGUAGAGUAGAGUAGCCUUUCAUCAGGUUGUUAUUAGUAGAGUAGAGUAGCCUUUCAUCAGGUUGUUAUUAGUAGAGUAGAGCAGCCUUUCAUCAGGUUGUUAUUAGUAGAGUAGAGUAGCCUUUCAUCAGGUUGUUAUUAGUAGAGUAGAGUAGCCUUUCAUCAGGUUGUUAUUAGUAGAGUAGAGUAGCCUUUCAUCAGGUUGUUAUUAGUAGAGUAGAGCAGCCUUUCAUCAGGUUGUUAUUAGUAGAGU